AUGUUUCAGUGGUGUCCUGGAGCUUUAUCUUUAGAUCUUCUUUUUCCCUUUCCUGCUCUACUUCAUUGUCAUGCAAAAGGUUCAUUUAUAAAUUUGGGCAUCCAUUUGCGCAGAGAAUCCAAGUCGUGGGUGGUGAAAGACUUAUGGAUCUUUGCAUGUAAACUGCCAGCAUUGUCUGUAAGUUUUGCUACAUCCCAUAGAGGCAUUAUCUUCUGUGCCUCUGAUGAAUUUGCAGGAUUAUUGUUUUGUGCCAGUGUAGCAUUAGUAUUGUUAGUUCCAGCUAUUUCCCCUAAUGGUGUUAUAGUAUUAGUAUUAGUCUUAAAGUCCUUGCUAGUCUGUCCUGUCCCAUCCCCAGUCACCAUGUCAGAUCCCAUCCCAAUGCCCUGUUGUUUUUUGUUCAUGUAGUCCUGGCAUAUCUCUGUCAAAAUAGGUAUCUGGCCAAACAAUGUCUCUAAUUUGUUAUCAGUUAUUAUCAACUCACUGUCACACCAGGCAGUCUCUAGCCCAAAGGUCAGCUAAGAGCCUACACUACAAAAAGACAUUCUUACUUCCUCAGUUCCCCCUCUUGUAAAGCCACUGAUGUCACUCCUUCUAGGUCUUUCUGGUUGGAUAGACUUGACCUCAGUGCAGGUCAGAGGCCAGUCUUCCAGAUGCCAGGAGUCAUGGGGACAAGCAGCAAGCCUCUUCUAGGUCAUCAGUGAGUCAUGAGACUUCCCAUAGUAUGCAUGCGUGCCCAGACAAAGGAUAGGGCUGGUACCAACUAAAAUGGAUUUUCAAAAAGAAUAAGGGAUACAAUUUAUAUUAAAUUUAUACACCCCCCCUUAUUCUUUGGAAGAUUAACAUGCCAGUCUGCCCAGUGAAUCAUCCCAUACAUAAUAUCUAUUCAGUUCAGGAUUGUUUCAUAAAGGUACAUAAGUAACAAAAGAUUAUACAUUCCAAAGGUAUUAUACAUCUCCACAGUCUCACUCAGAGACUCAUGAGGUAAUAUUUGAUUUCUGGGAACAUCCUCCAUUGCUGUCCUCUUUUUAGUCCAUCAGGAAUCAUGAUGGUUCUUACAGCCUCUUCUCUAGGAUAUCUGUUUUCCUGGUCCAGGUAAUUGGUUAUAUCUUUCCUUAAAAUUACUUUAAAAGAUCUUAAUUGAUGGACCUUUAAGAUAACUUCAAUCUUCAUCCCCCCCCCCCCCCCCCCGGAGGAUGAGAUACUGCCCAGGAUCUAACACUAACAUAACCUAAUGGUAACACAAAAUAAUGUUCCAAUACAGUGAAUAUUUAUUUACAACAAUAGAUUUGGUAAAGGGUAUGUGACUAGGCUAUAAGGUUAUUGAUUUAAGAAUGCAUUAAAUAAUAUACAAAAUGUAGCUCCCAAAAACAUAAGGAGAGAAAAUAUACACAUGCCCAGAUAUAAG
rnacentral:lncRNA from 1 species